rnacentral:lncRNA from 1 species
GGUGAGUCAUGGGGGAGGAGGCCAGCUUUCUUCAGCUCUCCCCCAAAAAAAGACCUGUUUUUAUUUUUAUUUUUCCAUUCCGUACACCCGUGCACUAGCAGAACAGAGAGAAAACCCUGGGAAGACCCCAAUAGGAAGAACACCUCCCUGUACUCAUUCAUCAGGAAUUGCCCAAGGGACUUGAUAUUUUUGUUAUUGCAUCCUAC